rnacentral:sRNA from 1 species
UUUCUUCCUUCUGGCUCGCCGGCCGGAGGGUAGGGGGUCCGUGGACCUCCCGGCCUGUAGGGGGCGUCGGGCGCAGCGGAAGGGCCUGCUCCGGAGCCUGGCCAGGGCUGCGCAGUCAUGAUCACCGAGACCGCGGCGGAGCGUACGGUCCCUGCAGUGCCUGCUGCUGAGGAGGCCACCGAAGCUCGGGGACGCGAGGAGCCGGCGUGGCCCUGGAAAGACGCCCCGAUCCGGACGCUGGUGCAGCGCAUCCACCAGCUGCAGGCUGAGCGCGCGCAGGGCUUCCGCCGACUGGAGGAGUGAGUGGGGGCGCGGAGGGGCUCAGGGUUCGGUCCCCCGCCCGCUCCGGGCGUGGGCGUGUUCUCGGCGGGCGUGCGUGGAGGAGGAGCUGGGUCCUUGUGCGGCUGCAGAGUCAGAUGGGGCGGGGAUUUCGGGGCACCGGGUCCUCACCUUCACGAGAAAGGCCCCACAGCACGUCCCCACUACCCGACGACUCAAUCCUCGUGGCUUCUCUCUCCCCCGCAAGAGCAGGGGUGGGCCUGUCUCGCGUUCCCCUGCGGGAGUCAGGAAGCGUCCUUCCUACCUACCAGUCCUCCCCUCUGGGGUCUGGGGACACUUCCUGGGGGCCUUUCAGGUGGUUGGCGCCGGUGCAGGGCCUGAGAGCCUGGGGGCGCGGCCUCAGGGUCCCCACCUGCCGCAGAGGCCACCGCCAGUACCUGCGCAGCAGCCCUGACUACGACUUCGCGCGCUACCGGAGCAUAGUGCACGAGGUGACCCAGGCCUUCGCCGCCGCCUCGCGGGAGGUGCUGGCUGUGGAAGCAGAGCUGGGCGGGCCUCGCAGGCAGCCGCUGCUCGCCGGCCACGUGCGCAGCCUGCAGGAGCUGGAGCAGACGCGGCUGGGCACGGCUAGAGUGCAAUGGCGCGAUCUCGGCUAACUGCAACCUCCGCCUCCCAGGUUCAAGCGAUUCUCCUGCCUCAGCCUCCUGAGUAGCUGGGAUUACAGGCGUAAUUUUUGUAUUUUGUAUUUUUUUUAGUAGAGAUGGGGUUUUGCCAUAUGGGCAAGGCUGGUCUCGAACUCCUGGUCUCAAGCGAUCCGCCCUCCUCUGCUUCCCGAAGUGCUGGGAUUUCAGGCGUGAGCCACCGCGUCCAGGCUUUUUGGCCUACUUUUAUCCUGGGUCCCCGUCCCUGGGACCAUGAGGCGCAACCUAACCCACCCCUACGGCCAAUGCCUGGCUAAGACGUCACUGUUGUUCCCAGGCCACGCCCACAUCGCGCUCAGCACUGCCUCUGGCCUGCCUGCUGUCUCCCUUCUGAGAGAGCCUCUAAACUGAAUUUCGGACUCUUCCUACACAAAGCACUGCCCCUCGUGGUUCUACCCGGGCACUGCCUUUCUGGGUGCCUCUGUUUUUUCCUGAACAUCCUUGGAGGGCAGGGGUGGGUUCUGCUCGUGGAGACAUCCUUCCUGUUGUUCAUUCCCCCACCAGGUGGCCCUGCUGCAGUUGAUGGAGACGCCAGAGCUGGCGGGGCAGGAGGACGCUGUACGGAUGCAGCAGCUGAAAAUGAAGGUAAUUAAAACCAUGGAGGCGAUCAGCGAGGUUCUCCAGGACCUCAGGUUUGAUGCGGAAUCUGCCGAGUGAUGGCGGCUCCCCAGGGAUGCGCCGAGGGAGAUGGGAAACGGGGCGGAUGGCGCCCAGCCCAGCCCUAACCGCCAGCUGGCUGGGGUCGCGCCCCACUGCGCUGCUGACCUUCCUGCAGUUCCAGACACCGCCCACAAUAAAGAGCUCCUCCUCU